UGAGUGCCAAGCAUUGACAUGCACUCCCAAGCAUUGGCACUGAACCCCAAUCAUUGGGUUGAGUGCCAAGCAUUGGCAUGCACUCCCAAGCAUUGGCACUGAACCCCAAUCCUUGGGGUUGAGUUCCAAGCAUUGUCAUGCACUCCCAAGCAUUGGCACUGAACCCCAAUCAUAGGGGUUGAGUGCCAAGUAUUGGCAUGCACUCCCAAGCAUUGGCACUGAACCCCAAUCAUUGGGGUUGAGUGCCAAGCAUUGGCAUGCACUCCCAAGCAUUGGCACUGAACCCCAAUCAAUGGGGUUGAGUGCCAAGAUUGGCAUUAACUCCCAAGUAUUGGCACUGAACCCCAAUCAUUGGGGUUGAGUGCCAAGCAUUAGCAUGCACUCCCAAGCAGGAGCACUGAACCCCAAUCAUUCGGGUUGAGUGCCAAGCAUUGCCGCUGAACACAAAUCAUUGGGACUGGGUGCCAAGCUUUGGCAUGCACUCCCAAGCAUUGGCAUGCACUCCCAAGUAUUGGCACUGAACCCCAAUCAUUGGGGUUGAGUGCCAAGCUUUGGCAUGCACUCCCAAGCAUUGGCACUGAACCCCAAUCAUUGGGGUUGAGUGCCAAGCAUUGGCAUGCACUCCCAAGCAUCGGCACUGAACCCCAAUCAUUGGGUUGAGUGCCAAGCAGUGGCAUGCACUCCCAAGUAUUGGCACUUAACCCCAAUCAUUGGAGUUGAGUGCGAAGCAUUGGCUUGCACUCCCAAGCAUUGGCAUGCACUCCCAAACAUUGGCACCGCAUGCAAAUAGAUUAAAGUGCUUGCCGGACUGUGCUCGACGACAAAAAUGCACUGGCACUCGAUGGGAAGGUCUGGGAAAAAAAUUCCCAAUGGUUCCCACCGCAUUCCAAUGGCUUCCCGGUGCUGGCCGGUUUCUCCUCGACACCAAACGUGCACUGGCACUUGAUGGGAAGGUCUGGGAAAAAAAUUCCCCAUGGUUCCCACCGCAUGCAAAUAGAUUCAAAGUGCUUGCCGGACUGUGCUCGACACCCCCAGUGCACUGGCACUCAAUGGAAGGUUCUGGAAAAAAAUUCCACAUGGUUCGCACAGCAUGCCAAUAUCUUCCCAGUGCUUGCCAGACUGUGCUCGACACCAAAAAUGCACUGGCACUCGAUGGGAAGGUCUGA
rnacentral:lncRNA from 1 species